GCAAGAUACAGGUUCACAAUGCUCAGUUUUGAAUGUUGGGUACCAAGCUGAAGAAGCAGUGCAGUACGUUCACCAUGCACCAAGUGAAAGUUGAUUCCUGCAGUAGCAGUUGCAUAAAGUGACAACAUUUACUACUGUUGUGAAGAGCUGCAGUUCUGUAUGUGAAGCAUCUUGAUCUGAAAAAUAGUCCUGUACAUCCCUGACAAUAAAUUUUAAGGUAUCGAACUUCGCA
rnacentral:lncRNA from 1 species